GACGAACGCUGGCGGCGUGCCUAAUACAUGCAAGUAGAACGCUGAAGAGAGGAGCUUGCUCUCCUUGGAUGAGUUGCGAACGGGUGAGUAACGCGUAGGUAACCUGCCUUGUAGCGGGGGAUAACUAUUGGAAACGAUAGCUAAUACCGCAUAACAAUGGAUGACCCAUGUCAUUUAUUUGAAAGGGGCAAAUGCCCCACUACAAGAUGGACCUGCGUUGUAUUAGCUAGUAGGUGAGGUAACGGCUCACCUAGGCGACGAUACAUAGCCGGUCUGAGAGGGUGAUCGGCCACACUGGGACUGAGACACGGCCCAGACUCCUACGGGAGGCAGCAGUAGGGAAUCUUCGGCAAUGGGGCAACCCUGAACGAGCAACGCCGCGGGAGGGAAGAAGGGUUUCGGGUCGUAAAGCUCUGUUGGAAGUGAAGAACGAGUGUGAGAGUGAAAAGUUCACACUGUGACGGUAGCUGACCAGUAAGGAACGGCUAACUACGUG
rnacentral:rRNA from 1 species